CAGUAGCCACGGUAAUACGAAGGGUGCAAGCGUUACUCGGAAUUACUGGGCGUAAAGCGUGCGUAGGUGGUGGUUUAAGUCCGUUGUGAAAGCCCUGGGCUCAACCUGGGAAUUGCAGUGGAUACUGGGUCACUAGAGUGUGGUAGAGGAUAGUGGAAUUUCCGGUGUAGCAGUGAAAUGCGUAGAGAUCGGAAGGAACAUCUGUGGCGAAGGCGACUAUCUGGGCCAACACUGACACUGAGGCACGAAAGCGUGGGGAGCAAACAGGAUUAGAUACCCCGGUAGUCCCUGUCUCUUAUAC
rnacentral:rRNA from 1 species